CGACGUUGAACAACCUCACCUUGAUUCUAUAAACACUCCCACUCGCUCUCGUCCCAGUGUGUGCAUAUCUUCUGGUGCGAGAGGAGCUCGCUUCAGAAUGGUGAGAGCGAGAGAGAGCUACGUAUAUAUGGCUUCAAACGUGAUCAAGACGGCGGCGCAAGCUCGAGGAUGGGGCAUCCGUAAAUGUCCAUGCGACAGCGAGUCUCGUUGGGGCAUGGAACCUGCUGACAAAAUCACAGGCAUUAGCGUUGGCGCCGCUUCAUGCGUAAACUCCAUUAAGAUAACCUUCGAGAUAGACGGCACCACUGGCGUAACUCCCAGAUAUGGAGGCUCCGACGGUGAACUAUUCCAGAUUACUCUCAUGCAAGAUGAAUACCUCACCUCCGUUUCUGGGUACGUCAGACACAUCUUUCGGACCUUCCUUGCAUAUCUCAACUCAUGUUUGGCACCAAUCUUGGAAGGACACAUGGUCCAUAUGGAGGUGGGGGUGGAACCUUUUUCGAAGUAAACGUAGAAUAUGACGACAUCAAAGGCUUCUUUGGAUAUGCAACUACCGAGCAUCUCACUGUAUUUGGAGUCUACGUGAUGCUGGCUUAGCAAACCCUCUUGGAGGGUGCUUACUAUCCAUCUCUAUGUAUGUGAUGAUGAAUGAGGACGCCAUCGUCUAUUACUGACAUCUACGUCAUAUCGUUGGAGUAAUGUCAAAUAAAAAAGUCUACCUUCAUGCAUUUGUCAACUUUCA